rnacentral:misc_RNA from 1 species
AAGUCGUAACAAGGUUUCCGUAGGUGAACCUGCGGAAGGAUCAUUAACGAGUUUACAAGUCGGUCGACCGUGCUGGCGGAGACGCAUGUGCACGUCGGUCGCAAAUCUCAUCCACACACCUGUGAACGUAUGGCCUCUGGGUACUCGCUGCCUGGGGGCAAACCUUUUUCACCCACUCUGUUUGUAAAGGAAUGUCAUGUGUGCGAAAUGCGCAAAAUGAAACAACUUUCAACAACGGAUCUCUUGGCUCUC